rnacentral:lncRNA from 1 species
AGUGUGGGAAUUUUAAGAGCAGGAUAAGUCUGGAAAACCAUUGCAUGCUUGAAGGAAGAGAUGAGGUCCACUGGAUAAAAAUCUGUAGCGUCAUCCAACUUCAAGAAUUGCAGGAAGUUGAGCAGAAACCAAUUAGACAUUUGUUUGAAAUUUUUCUGCACAAUGAAUUACAAAUUGGUAAGAUAACAAUUUCUAUGUGAGUUUAGAACUCCAAAAUCUAAAGCUGAAACCUAAUUUUCUACAUCCACCAGAAAGCUAAAUUCACAGAAGAACAUAGAGGAUUGAAUUGGGCUGCAACAAUAUAAAUUUGGAAAAAAAAAAAGCAGUUAAGUUAGAAGGAUACCGUCCUUGUUUUGUCAAACACUAAAAUUAUGAGAAUUCUUGGUUGGAACCCUCAGAUAACCACUUAUAAUCUCAAACAUAGUCAUAAUGCUACUUCCGAUGAAGUAGAAAUCACCAAAUAAAUGAACCAGGAUUGAGUAGGGUCACCCAUCAUAAUCUCAGACCACACAACUCAAUGACAACCACAACUGAAAUUUUGUAACACAUACCCAAUACCCGAUCUGAGCAAAUUUUGCAUGUUGACCAUAACCUGAUCCAAAUCCUACAAUUCGGUUCUCAAGAGACCAAGAGAUAUCAAGAUUCAUAAUCAAUAUACAUUCUGUUACAACGCAAGCCAAGGAACUCGCCGCAAGCCAUACCUAAACAUGAGCAACCACUAACAAGGUUAGAUGCCAACAUGACAUUCUUCUCUGACCUAGAUUUGCUCCUCCAUCAAACUGAGAUAUGAAGAGGAUUACCUAUAAAUAGAGCCUCCCAAGAUGCUUUAAAUGCUUAAUUACAUAGAGCCAAAAAUCAUCCUCAAGCCUCUCCUGCUAAUUCAUGAAAACCAACAAUUGCUAGCUAAAUCUUAUCUAAACAUGAGCAAAGCUAUCCAUAAGAAGUAUCCAAUAAUGUUGACUGUCUAUCAGACUAGCUCAAUUAUUUAAUUUUUCUAAUUUACUACUACUUCCAUUCAAAUAAUACAUAAACUUGAAUUUUUGACCUAUGAACUACACACACUAUGCCUUAAUAAUUAGGAUGUCUCAAAUAAAACAAAAUCUUAUGGUUAAAUGAAACUUCCCUUGAAACUAGUAUCUGAUCUAGUUUCAUCCAUCAAAUUUAUGAACAAGGAAAAGUGAAAAUAGAAUAAGUAGAUCCAUCACAGAGGAUCUUUUGGUCAUCUUAAACUAAUUGAACAUGAGUUUGAGAGAAAAAUCAAGAUCUUGUACUCUAACUAGCUUAUAAACAAUUUCGCUGCUGCAAAAUCUCAUGUUACUUCCAACAAAUUCUUUGUACCAGUAUCUAAUCCCUUUGUAACAGUUUCAUGGCAACCUGUGCUAGCCAAAUGACUCAACUAGACCAAGCUUUCUUGCCAAGUAUCCAUCUUAUUCAUGCUUCAAACUCGAAAGAGUGUCAAUAAACUUCAUGCAUUAUUAUAAAUCAAACCAUAUAGGUUUGCGAUGUUGAAAUUAUAACAAAAAUUUGCUAGCAUUAUAACGACUCAACUAGAUAAAGCUUGCUUGUCAAGUAUCCAUCUUAUCCAUGCUUCAAACUCCAAAAGAGAGUCAAUAAGCUUCAUGCAUUAUUAUAUAUCUAUGUUGAAAUUAUAACAAAAGGUCACAACAUUCAAACGAUUUACAUGAUCUGAAGUCCACUCUAAGACAAGUUGACCAGAUAAGGAAGCAAAAGCGGACAAAAAAGAUAGCAUAACAUUCCUCAUUGUGAAAAAGAAAGCUUUGAAAUUUCAGAUAAUUUUACCAUUAUCGCUUCAAACAACAAUGAGUAUGCAUAACAUCAUACACAAUCCAAGUUUUUUGUAUCCUUAUCAAAUUGGAAAACUAGAAAAAAAUCUCUACUACUUCAAAAUACAAGAAGUAUACACUCAUCAUAACAAACACAAUUAGUUUUUGUUUCCUUACACUAUCAAGAAAUCAGGAGAAACAGCUUAAGAGUAUAUUCCCCAAGCGUUCACCUGACAAAAUUCCCCACCUUGCAUCUAAAGUUAACCACAUCAAUAUACGUUUUCCUACUACUAUGCUAAGAGCUAUUGUAGCUACGAAUGCUUAAGCUUACAAAAACAGCAUGAAGAUAAAAAAUCUACACAAAGAUAAUGAUGAAGCUCAAAGGACAGAGCAUUACUAUCUUUUGACCUAAAAAACCCAAAAAGAACGAAUUAGGAUAUUGAUAUUUGAAACCCACAACAACCGUGGCCACACACCCAGAUUUAGUCAUCGCCUAAUCUUUACUAGGCUUAACCAAAGAGAAACCAACAAACGCCAGAUUCAUAAGCUGCAGAGCAGAUCCACCAGACAGCAAGAGGAAGCACGGCCACCUGGUUCCAAAUGCACGAUACAAACGAAAAAAAACAACGCGACGAUCAGAUUCUUGCAUCGAGCAAAGCCCUCCCUAGUCCACCUACCGAAACGAGAUGGAGAGCUAGGGAUCGGAGAACCGAUACCUGGGCACGCAGACGCAGACGCAGACGCUGACGCUGGCGUCGAGCCCGUCGAUCCGAAGAAUCAGACGAUCGUCGACGUUCGUUUGCCACCGCUACGGCAAUCUUCCCCUCUUC